GCGUGGAUAAGGGGUUUAUUUAAAAUAUUGUGUGAAUGUGCUUUUGUGCUCGAUUUUUCUAUGUGAAUCUGGAUCUUGCUGUCACUGUCGUGAAUAGUGCUCUUAUUUAUUAGUCAUGUCGAUAUUCAUUAUUACUCCAUUUCUUGGCUAAGGGUUGUUUUCCCCUCUUCGAAUUUCAAAUUUUAAUUCCCCCCCAGAGAUCUGUGUUCUUUUUCAUGAAUUUCAGAGGCUUUCCGCAGUCUCAGCAAGGACGAAUGAGGGACGCCCAGCUUGGAUCACAUACUGUGAGUCUCAUGGUAUGAUGGUGGCAAGGACUCAUUUGAAUGACUGGCUGAUCCUUAUACUACUUUUCCGAUAGUUGUCCUUCUGAAUGCUAUCCAUCCAUUUUAUUGGUUUGUCGGGGAAGACAUGAUGGAAGACCUCAAGUAUCUUUUUAAAAGUAAUACUGUAAUUAUUGGGGAUGUGCCAGUGAGUUGAUCAUCAUUUUCCAUUCAGCAGCUACAAAAUUACUCUGUGGAGGCGAUUGGUACCUCAUAUUCAUAUUUCAAAAUUUCCAAAAUUUAUCAGGCGUAUGCUGUUCUGCUUACCUAUGAUUGUUUUUAUUCUCUUUUAUUUUUGACAAAGAGAUGUCUAUGAUCUUCAUCAUGUGAUAUCAGGGCUUUUGUUCUCUGUUCAGGUAACAGCUGUUAUCACAGAUGCUAUUGAAGAUGCAGUUAGACGGCCUAGGACACACUUCUUCUGGCGCUGUUUUCCAGAUGGAAAAGUAUGUGUCUGUAAUGACCAUCAUAGUUAUUUUAAGUUUUACAACUUAUAAGAAAUCAGUACAUCGAACUGGAAAGAUGACAAAAAGAUAAGGCUUGCCUCUUGCACAGGCAAAAACAUUUUUUGA